GAUGAACGCUAGCGGCAGGUCUAACACAUGCAAGUCGAGGGGCAGCACAGAAACAGCAAUGUUUUGGUGGCGACCGGCGGACGGGUGCGUAACGCGUAUGCAGCCUACCUUUAACAGGGGGAUAACGGAGAGAAAUUUCCACUAAUACCCCAUUACAUCGAUCAAGGCAUCUUGAUUGGUUGAAAACUCCGGUGGUUAAAGAUGGGCAUGCGUUGUAUUAGGUAGUUGGUGUGGUAAUGGCACACCAAGCCUACGAUACAUAGGGGGACUGAGAGGUUAGCCCCCCACACUGGUACUGAGACACGGACCAGACUCCUACGGGAGGCAGCAGUGGGGAAUAUUGGUCAAUGGGGGCAACCCUGAACCAGCCAUGCCGCGUGCAGGAAGACGGCUCUAUGAGUUGUAAACUGCUUUUAAACAGGGAUAAAGCACAGUAUGUAUACUGUGUUGAAGGUACUGUAAGAAUAAGGAUCGGCUAACUCCGUGCCAGCCGCCGCAGUAA
rnacentral:rRNA from 1 species